UGGGGAAUAUUGCACAAUGGGCGCAAGCCUGAUGCAGCCAUGCCGCGUGUAUGAAGAAGGCCUUCGGGUUGUAAAGUACUUUCAGUCGGGAGGAAGGUGUCAAGGUUAAUAACCUUGGCAAUUGACGUUACCGACAGAAGAAGCACCGGCUAACUCCGUGCCAGCAGCCGCGGUAAUACGGAGGGUGCAAGCGUUAAUCGGAAUUACUGGGCGUAAAGCGCACGCAGGCGGUUGAUUGAGUCAGAUGUGAAAUCCCCGGGCUUAACCCGGGAAUUGCAUCUGAUACUGGUCAGCUAGAGUCUUGUAGAGGGGGGUAGAAUUCCAUGUGUAGCGGUGAAAUGCGUAGAGAGGUGGAGGAAUACCGGUGGCGAAGGCGGCCCCCUGGACAAAGACUGACGCUCAGGUGCGAAAGCGUGGGGAGCAAACA
rnacentral:rRNA from 1 species